UAAAAAAAGCAUUAAACGGAUACCUUGACAAAAGAUUCUAUUGGAUGUUGUACAACAAAAAUUUUAGCUGAGCUGUAAUGCUGGGACGCUGAAAUGUCCAAUAAAAGAAAUUUUUCUCUUGGAAGUUUUCAGAAAAGUGAAUUGAAACAUCUUAGUAACUUUUUAAGAAAUCAAACGAGAUACUGAAAGUAGUGGCGAACGAACUCAGUACAGGCAAAAAACAUAGAUAAAACACCAAUUGAACCUCGAGACCAGAGAAGGUUUAAGUCCUGUAGAUCGGCAAAAACUGUGUUUUUAAGUAAAAGAGGUUGUACUCUUUGAACAAUGGGGGACCACCCUCAAAGCCUAAAUUUUGGUCUUUUGAUCGAUAGUGAACGAGUACUGUGAAGGAAAGGACAUACAUCCUAGGAUGUUUUGAAAUUUAAUGCUAGCAAUCGGUUGGAGCUUUAUAAAGUGACAGCGUACCUUUUGCAUAAUGGGUCAGCGAGUUUUUAAAAAAGGCAAGCUUUUAACGAGGCGAAGAAAAUACGAAUUUUAAAAAAUAACCAGUCUUUUUUAAAAGACCCGAAACUGAGUGAUCUAACCUUGAACAGGCUGAAGACAGAGUGGUAACAUUCGUUGGAGGGCCGAACCCGUGUCUGUGGCAACAUACUGGGAUGAUUUGAGGUUAGGAGUGAAAGGCUAAUCAAACUCAGAGAUAGCUGGUUUUCUGCGAAAUCUAUUUAAGUAGAGCGAUCAAGUAAAACUUUUUGGGGUAGAGCACUUUUUAGAUGAUGGGGCAAUUUCGCUUACUGAUUUUAAGAAAACUCCGAAUACAAAAAGCUCUGAACUUGAUCAGACAGACCAUGGGUGCUAAGGUCCAUGGUCAAGAGGGAAACAGCCCAGAUUGAUCGCUAAGGCCCCAAAGAAAUCUUUCAGUUUAAGGAAGUAAGAUUACGAAGACAACUAGUAGGUCGGCUUGGAAGCAGCCAUCCUUGAAAGAAAUCGUAACAGAUCACUGGUCGAGUAAUUUUGCACCGAAAAUUUAUGGGCAUUAAAAGAUUCGCCGAAGCGGCAAACUUUUUUAAGUGGUAGCAGAACGUUCUGUGAAAUCAAUGAAGAAAAUUUGAGAAAAUUUUUCGAGAAAUCAGAAGUGAAAAUGCUGACAUGAGUAACAAAAAACAAUGUACAGAAUCAUUGUGGCUGUAAAUCCAAGGGUUUUGACGGAAGGAUUAUCCGCGUCAUGCCAUCUUUCGAUGGACAUAUUAGACGGUCCCUAAGAACGCUGAUGACAAUCAGGUUUGAUGGGUUAAACGUUUCGUUUCUUAAAAAAAAUGACAGAUUCUUAAGAUUAUUUUUAGUUUAUAGAGGAAACUAAAGGUGGUGGACGAAUUUCAGGAAAAAGUUUUUUUACUGCACAAACCGUACCUUAAACCAACACAGGUGGAUGGGUGGAAUACACUAAAGCCAAUGAGAGAAUGAUGUUGAAGGAACUCGGCAAAAUGAUUCCGUAACUUCGGAAGAAGGAAUAACCUUGCGAGGGCAACCUUGCAAGGUUGGCACAGAAUUGGGGGUAGCGACUGUUUAAUAAAAACACAGGUCUCUGCAAAUUUGUAAAAAGAUGUAUAGGGACUGACACCUGCCCGGUGCUGUAAGGUUAAACUAUGCUGUUUUGGCAGUGUACAUAAGCCUCAGUAAACGGCGGCUGUAACUCUGACGGUCCAAAGGUAGCGAAAUUCCUUGUCGGGUAAGUUCCGACCUGCAUGAAUGGUGUAACGACUUCCCCGCUGUCUCCAACAUCACCUCAGUGAAAUUGAAAU
rnacentral:rRNA from 1 species